AUACGGAGGGUGCAAGCGUUGUUCGGAAUUAUUGGGCGUAAAGCGCGUGUAGGCGGUUUCUUAAGUCUGAUGUGAAAGCCCCGGGCUCAACCUGGGAAGUGCAUUGGAAACUGGGGGACUUGAGUACGGGAGAGGGUAGUGGAAUUCCUAGUGUAGGAGUGAAAUCCGUAGAUAUUAGGAGGAAUACCGGUGGCGAAGGCGGCCAUCUGGCUCAUUAUUGACGCUUAGGCACGAAAGCGUGGGGAGC
rnacentral:rRNA from 1 species